ACUCAACAGCCUGCCUCCGUUUUGUGUUUGGUUCUUUUAUACCAAAUAAACAAGUUUUAUGGCAAGAAGCUCAUAAUAAACAUACAUGUGCCUUUAAUCAAUCUGUAAUCUGUUCUAUUACACGAUUUUCAUGCAGUCACAACAACU
rfam:Dictyostelium discoideum AX4 chromosome 3, whole genome shotgun sequence.